UGACGAUGUUUGUCGUUCCCACUCCGCGACGUGCAAGUUGCGGAGGUGUAAGAACGUUGACAACAAGCUCUUGCAGCAACUGCGUGUUCGCGUGAUGCGAAAGUGUCCAAGCAGUUAACUGCCGCGGACGUUCCUACUCUUUCGGGAUCAGGAGCAUUCUCGCUUUUGGAAUCGGAGCAAAGAAAUGCUACAAGUAUCUCUAUGAAGCGAAUAGAACAAAUGCAUUGGCAAGCUGACCACGUUCAUGCUCUCGAACUUGGUGGUGAAUUUGCAAUGCAUCGCAGUAGA